rnacentral:rRNA from 1 species
GACGUAGGGCGCGAGCGUUGUCCGGAUUUAUUGGGCGUAAAGAGCUCGUAGGCGGCUCGUUGCGUCGGCUGUGAAAACCCACAGCUUAACUGUGGGCCUGCAGCCGAUACGGGCGAGCUAGAGUUCGGUAGGGGAGACUGGAAUUCCUGGUGUAGCGGUGAAAUGCGCAGAUAUCAGGAGGAACACCGGUGGCGAAGGCGGGUCUCUGGGCCGAUACUGACGCUGAGGAGCGAAAGCGUGGGUAGCAAACAGG